GUUGAAGAACGCAGCGAAAUGCGAUAAGUAAUGUGAAUUGCAGAAUUCAGUGAAUCAUCGAAUCUUUGAACGCACAUUGCGCCCGCCAGUAUUCUGGCGGGCAUGCCUGUUCGAGCGUCAUUUCAACCAUCAUGCCCCAGGCUUGUGUUGGGGACCUGCGGCUGCCGCAGGCCCUGAAAACCAGUGGCGGGCUCGCUGUCACACCGGGCGUAGUAGAUUUUAUCUCGCUCAGGGCGUGCUGCGGGUUCCGGCCGUUAAAAAGCCUUUUUUACCCAAGGUUGACCUCGGAUCAGGUAGGAAGACCCGCUGAACUUAAGCAUAUCAAUAAGCGGAGGA
rnacentral:misc_RNA from 1 species